GUGUGGUGUGAGGGCAUGGGAUUAUUUCCCCCACCUCUAUUAUUUCCGGGGAACACUUUCCCCUUCUCAUUUUUAUUUUCUCUCUCGGCUGUCUCUCUCUCUAAUUCUCUCGUCUCUCUCCAGCUCUCAUCUCUCUCUCCCGACCUCUCCAUCAAAGCCCACCAAAUUGGUGCAAAACCCAUACAAACCCACCUCCAUUUUGACUUCUAUACGCGACUCUAGCCUUGAAUCUCGUGGGUCUUGCUCGGAGGAGGAGUAUUCAGUUGUUUUUUUGAAGUUUGGAGAGCUAGGGCUUGCUCAACUUGCGUGGGUUUUGCUUCUCGACUUGAGGUUCUGAUGCCGGGCAAUAGAUUGCAUGCAUUGUGUGCUUGACAGUAAAAGACUUUUGGAAGCUGACAUCACUGGUUAUUUCGUCAUCUUUGUGAAGAUCUCAUUUCGUUAAAGAUGGUUUUGUAAAUAAUUACUAUUGAGUUUUCUUUUGACUAAAGUUGUAAUUAUCUAAACUUAAGGACUUGUUUGUAAAUUAAACAGGUGGGAAACUCUUUUGGGUAACGUAUAUGAUAUGCGAGGUUUCUCUUUUAUUGAAA